CAAAAAAAGUUUAUUUUCCCACAGUUAUGAAAGUUAGAAGUCCAAGAUCAAGGUGCCAGCAUGUUUGAGUUCCUCCUGAGGGGGUCUUUCUCUGUCUCUGUCUCUGUCUAUGUCUCUCUGUCUCUGUCUCUGUCUCU
ensembl:miRNA Gm44485 predicted gene, 44485